AUUCCGUGAUGAGGGCACUUUCGUAAUAACUCUUUGAAUCUUUCCCAUGCCUCAUACAAGGACUCAUCAUCCAUUUGUUGGAAAGCAGUGAUCUCAUUUCUUAGCUU
rfam:Gossypium arboreum cultivar AKA8401 contig_13460_3, whole genome shotgun sequence.